GUCUAUGGCCAUACUGCCCUGAAUGCGCCAGAUCUUGUCUGAUCUCGAAAGCUAAGCAGGGUGGGGCCUGGUUAGUACUUGGAUGAGAAAAGGCUAUGCACUGCACUGU
rnacentral:rRNA from 1 species